CACGUAGGGCGCAAGCGUUGUCCGGAAUUAUUGGGCGUAAAGAGCUCGUAGGCGGUUGGGUAAGUCGGGUGUGAAAACUCCAGGCUCAACUUGGAGACGCCACCCGAUACUGCUCUGACUUGAGUUCGGUAGGGGAGUGGGGAAUUCCUGGUGUAGCGGUGAAAUGCAUAGAUAUGUCUCAGAACACCGAUUGCGAAGGCAGCUUACUAUGGUCUUAUUGACGCUGAGGCACGAAAGCGUGGGGAUCAAACAGG
rnacentral:rRNA from 1 species